rnacentral:lncRNA from 1 species
UGUCGCUUCCGCCUCGAGCGUGUGGCGGGAUUGCGGAAGCCCUCCACAGUUCAUAACCGUUGGCUGGUUAUGAACCGUUCAUAACGGGCGUUAAUAACCAUACCCUGUUAGACUAAGCAUGGUCCACCCGCGAAUCCUCUACAGAGAUGGCCAAGCGCUGGGGUCGUGGCUGCGUCCUCUAGGCCAGCCUUGUGCAAAGGACCUUCUCACCACAGAUCAGCCAGACCAUCUUCCUCCUUCCAAGUCAUCAAAGAGUUCCAAGCUGGUCACCUGUCCCUUGAUGUUCCCAGGAAACCAGGAAAGAGGACCCCUGCAUUUUAUCUUCCCAUCCAGAGUGGCAGGAUCUCUGCCUGGGAAACAGGCUUCAUUCAGCACAGCUGUGGUAGCAUUAACAAAGCAAAGUGGGCACAUGUAGAAGUUGAAGCUAAAACAUUCAAGAACUCCAGUCUGUUUCUGUGGAUGUUAAGGGGGUGAAGAUAAAACAAUGGAGGUGAUGAGGAGGAAUAACUUGAAGACAGUUUAAAGCCACAGUGAUACAAAGAAUGAAGAGAAGGAAGGUGCUGGAUUUUACUAAGAAAACAGACUGAGUUCAGGAGUCUCACCAGUAGAACUUUAUAGUAUUGCGUUUCGAUUACAUGUGUGUGAAUUUUAAAAACUGAUUACCCUCCAGUAAAAAUGUGGAACCAAUUUGCAUUUGGAUUAAAACAUUAGGUUUGGGGACAAAAGUGGACCCCAUGCUGCCUGAGAUGAAGAGAGAGAGCAGGAUGGCAGAGGAAUCACCAGCUCAAGAAACCCCAAGACUUGGACAGUCUUCCAGCAGAAGAGGCCAGGGUCUCUCAGUGUACUACUCCAAACAGGCCUCUCCUAGAGAUGUAGUCUGGGAAGGUCCAAAACCCACCAGACAGGCACAUCCAGUGGGGAAAAGACUUCCCAUUCCAGUGUGGCCUGCAUCCCUCACCUCUGCUUCCCAGUCUUCUGCUGACCUCAGAGGAGCAGGGUGGCCAUUGCUGAUCUGGGUUAGGGAGAUGCCAGAAACACACCCAGGUUUGAACCACAGGUUAGUGGUACAAAGUCACAGUCCUUGUGCCUUCAGAAAACCCAGAGGCCCCAAAUACGAGUGGGAAGAGAGUUGGGAAAAACUGAACCAGACUCUUCCAAUGGCCAUUAAAGAGAAAAUUCAGCAACGCUUGCCUUUGUCUUUGACCCUGAGAAGUUAAGGGACACAGAUUGUGGCGCCGUGAUGGAACAUGGAGGGAAGGCAUGGUGUGCUUCCUGCAGAGAUGCCUCUGGAGUCCCUGUGGCCACGGGAUCUCACUGGCCCCCUCUUCAGGCACCUUGAUGGGGCUCAGUGGGGCCAGGCCGAAGGGUGGAAGUAGAAAAGCAUCAACAGGCUGUCCAGAUCAAUUGGCACCAUCCAAGGCCCUGCUGCACCCACACAUGGAGGUCACCAGCUCAGCCCCAGGGGUUCUUUCACACACAAGCUCCUUCCCUAAGGAGUCCUGUGGGGUUCCACACUCAGUGUGCUGCCCAAGUCAGAGAUUUACCACAGAUCUGUCUCCCCCUCAACCUGGACUCAAGUUACUGUGGUGAGAAACCUCACUGUCCAUGGUUAACUGAAGAAAUCCCUCCUUCAGAAAGAACUUGAGUAGUAGAUGAGGUGGUUAGACAGGAUCUUUUUCCCUCAAGCUGUUUGGACGCCACAGCCAGGACCAACUCUGACAGCUGCGAGAGAGAGAGCCCCUCCAAUGUGGAACCUCCUACACAGCCCCCCUUUUGGGUCCCUGGAUAUGAGCCCCCAGCAGGACCACCACUCUAGGGGGAAGUCUCCCUCCCAUCCCUCAGAUCCCCACAUUGUUCCUCCUGUAGGAGAAAAGUCAGCCCUGCCCCUGGAGCUUCUCCAAGAUGGCACUGGACUCGCCGUUAUCUUGAGGAGCCAGGAGCUGAAAUGGCUCCGGCUUAGCAACCCAGUAUGGCCAAAGUGGAAAGGUUCUCUGUCCUUUGCAGUCACCAAAAAAAAAAAAAAAAAAAAAAAAAAAAAAAAAAAAGUAUGGUCUCACAGGCACAGCAUCUUCUUUUAAAAAAUAAAUAUUUAUAAACUUAAGGAAGAUUCAAAGAAUCAGGGUAUCUUUUCCUCCAAAAACACAAAUGUCCCGUGUAAGUCAAACCAAGGUGCGACCACCAACCCAUGAAUGAAGUCCCCUCCCCCUGCAGCUACAGGGUUGAGGGGCAGGUGGGCAGGGGAGCUGCUCUCUCUCCUGCCUUCAGUCCCCCUUGGUGAUGAGGUCCUCAAUGUAGGCGUCCAGCUCAUCAUCUGUGUUGAUGUCUAUGUCCUGGAAUAGAGCAGGGUAGGGAUCAACUGGGGGCCAGAAAGUGAUUGGGGGGCUCACCUUUCCACCCUUCUCUCAGCUCCUGGGAUGGAGCCCAGAGUCCUCUCCCUGACCUCCCACCCCGCCCUGGAUGUCAGGCUUCUGUCCUGUCUUAAUCACUCUCCCCUCCCUCAUCUAUUGUGCACAGAUGAUGCCCAGAUUUCCUACGCCCACCCUGCCUCUACCCCAUGUUCCCAAUUGUCUUAGAUGUAUAUUUCCCUCAGAUACUACAAAUAUGCCCACUUCUCUCCCUUCUCUGUCACUGCCCAAGGUCCAGGCCACCACUGUCUCAGACAACUGUGGGAGCCUCCUCACAGGAGGCUCUGGUUCUAACUUUGACCCCUCCAGGCCUCCUCCAACCAAGCAGGUACAUGUCUGAGACUGAAAACUGCAUCAUGCCACACCCCUCCAGUGAUCUCCACUGUUCUCGGGAUCAAACCCCACAACUUUCAAGCCCUGCCUCUGCCCCUACCGCCCCCAAGUCCCUGCUCAGGCCUCAAGUCCUGCUCUUCUUCCUUCUGCCUGGAAUGCUCGUGUCACACUCUUUGCAUGACUGGCUUCCAGUGUCUCCAAAUGCCUAAGC